rnacentral:lncRNA from 1 species
AAAAACACGGAUAGAAGAAAAAAAAAUCGUAUUGGAAAAAUGAAACAGAGCAAAAGUUACAAUCGCGCCGUAAGCCGUAAGGUGUGUCCCUGUGUCACUUGUGUCAGGUGAACUAGGCCAGAGCGCCUUCAUUUCUGGCGCACGCAACAUGGACAUUCAAAGAGUGUGAGUAGUUACAUCUAGGCGUUGGCGUCGACGUUUGACGUUGUGCGCAAUUUUUGAUACCAAACCGAGUGCUUAAUACAUUAAAAAUGCCGCAGGAGGCUGGAUUUCGAAAAAAAAACUUAGGAGUAAUUCCCUGGAUCCUCUCUUUUCUCCAAUUAGGUACUUGUUUGAGACCGUAUUUCAAUGAAAUGAGGGACGUCUCAAUGAUUAAAUAAUCAGUAUUUGCCCAACCCCCGGAGGCUGCUCCGCCUGACAUCCAAGCAACCCAACCCUCGGGGUAGUAGAAUGUCUCAUCAGUGGCUGACAAGAGUGAGUAACGCUGCCGGUCUUCGAAUACAGUGUUUAGUUGUUUUAGAUAUACCAACUAUGAAAGUUGCGACACUCGCGUUCAUACUACCGUCUAACGUGGCAUUUUUGCUAGGUACACCCUCUGGAAGGAAUCCGGACUCUUCACAUGUAUAGGUGUGAGAUCGGACUGGGAGGAUGCUGGACGCGGUGGUGGGGUCGAGUGACUCCGUCACUCUUCACCGUCUCACGUUGCGCGGGAAGAAGUGGAAAUACCGCGGCGAGGGCAACGCCAACCUUGUCAUCGCACUACCCUCGGAUCGACUGAUCAUCAGAAUGCGGAAACGUGAGAAGGGGGCACCAGUGACGGCGGAAGAGGAGCUGGCCGAGCUGAAGAAAAUGUGGCGAGAAGUGGUGUUCUGCUGCAAGAUGAUGAUUCCGCUUCUGGGGCGGGCUUACAUCCAACCGCCCGUCCCUGCGUACAUGGAUAAAAGCGAGAUCAAGGAAUUGGAAGAGGCUCUCAUAUCCCAACGCCCUGCAUCAAGACACCACAAAGGAAUCAAAUUCAGUCACGUGACAAUUUAUCCAGACUACGCCUUUCUGCCGAUUUUCCUCUCGGAACGGAACCAGGCUGUAACGUACCCCAAACUCAUAUCCGAGAAUCUCCACGACAACAUGGCCAAGCCUCGGUCGGAAUACUCCCGCAGCACAUCUUUCCAUGACCCCGUUUUUGACGAGAACAAAGAGGCCGUCAAAACCCUCCUCAAAAUCUCCUCCCUCUAUACCCUCCACUUCGAUAGUCCAAAUUGUGAUAACUUAGAUUUCGUGGAAAACACGAACGAUUCUAGUCAAAUUAGUAGUAGAUCUAUCAGUAUCAAUAGUCGCAGCGGUGGCAGUAACGCUAGCAGUAUUAUUCACAACACCAUGAAGCAGGAUUACUCGUCAUCUCUGGAUUAUCCCUCACCCCUCUCAACGUUCGCGAAGCAAGGUUCGCGGAGGAUUUACUGCUCACAGUUCUCGUCCAAAAGGAGCAUGGACUUUUCGACGUACUGCGUUGAGGUGAAACCAAAGCAAGGAUGGAUUCCAAUGAUCGAUCGAAGAUUCACCAAAUGUGCCUUCUGCCUAAAUCAAUACCUCAAAGUUUUCAAUGGAUCUGUCAAAAUGCAUAGCAACUACUGUCCGUUGGAUUUGUUUUCCGGGAAUCGAUCCAGGAUGAAAUCGCUGUGAAAGCUCUACUCAUAACCCCGCAAAAUAAUUUAAAAAUCUUCAAAGAUGGACAGCUUAUCUACGGAGACGAAACCAAAACAGACGUCAUUGAGAUUUUGAAAUCUUGGCUCGACUCACCAGUGGACUUCAUUGAGCAGGAUGUUGAUUCUCAAAGGUAUUAUCUUUUGCAAUAAGGAACUGCAUUUUUUGGCUCCAUCGUAUAUACCAUUAAUGUCCGUAUGCAAAUAGGUGAUUUCAUGAAUGAUAUUCAAAUAGUAGUUCCUUAUUUCUCAAAGUUAAUUUAUCUUGAACAGCAUUUUUACUUUAUCAGGUCGUUGAUUUUUCUAGAAUGUCUUACUCUUGUGAGUGUUAAGAAGUGUUAAGAAAGUUUUUGAAUUUAUAGUGUUCUUAAAAAGCUUUUAAUGUUUAAUCACGUAUUUCGUUUGACAAAAUCAUGAUUCGCGAUUCCUAUGGACCUGAAGAUAAUGCUUUAAGCGUUCUAAAUGAUCAUUGUCUAACAGAAUUUCAUUCAAGACAAUAUCAGGAUGGAAAUAAAAAGUGAGUUACAUUCUAGAGUCAAUUCAUCUGUCGUGAAUUUUUCAAACUGCCAUAGAUCAGAUAGAGAGCCCCACAAGUCUGUGGGCUGAUUAUUGCAAUUGAUAGACAAAGUAAUAGUCAAAGAAGAUAAUAGAAAAUGGAGCGAUCUAAUUGGUUGAAAUUGAUGGUUCUUAAAGACUGAGAGGGAAAAAGCUGGAAUAACUAUAGGGUCACUCUCUGGUUGCGUUAGUUAGUCUAUUACUUACCUCCUUUGUUCAUUGUAACCACCCGCUUUCACCAAUAGGAUUCCUUUUUUUCUUUUCUCUUCUUUUAGUCAAUCCAGGUUGCCACAGUCAGAGAAUUUAGGGAAAACCAGGAAAUGUCUGGGAAAAUUUGGAACUGUGAAGGAAAAUGACGAAAAUGUCAGGGAAAUAUCAUCAAAUCACCUUCAUUUGCUCUCUUGAGUGGAUUUGACGCUUUGAACAACAAUUUUGCCUGAGACUAUUUCUACCUGUGUCUUUUUAAAAAUCUUGCAUUUGUUUAAUUGUCAGGGAAUUUGAUCAAAAUGUGUUAGGGAAAUCAGGAGAAUGUCAGGGAAUUUAAUUUUCCAAAUUCUGUGGCAACCCUGGUAAACCAUCCAGUUAAUCCCAAAAAAAUUGCAUAGAGAAAAAAAAAGGAGGUGGUCACAUUUCAGGCAUCUUGGAUUUCUUCGAUGACCUAGGUAGGUACAGAUGCUUUUUGUCAUCGAUUUUCUUGAAAAUGGCGUAGAUUCUGGAAAAAAGUAAUUUUAUCUGAAGUGUUUGAAAUUAUAUUUUGAAUUGAACUAAGCAAAAAACGGAUGUUAUGGUCUGUUUUUCAUACUUAGAAUUUCGGAUUUUGCUGGAAUAUCAACGCCAUGUUGUACCUACCUACGCCCUGGGGUAAAUACAUCCUCAUGGUACCAGGGACCACCUUUUUUUUGCUCAAUGAGAAAAUUAUAACUCAAGAUAAUAAAACGUCGUUUUGAGGAACACCUGUUUGAAGUUAUGAACUCGGCAGAAGGACUGCAUCACUCUUCGUGUUACAAAACGUUGCAUAACUUAUUCCAUAAUAAGCAGAUUUUAAAAAACUUGAUCUUUAUCUGCAGCUAAAGAUACUUAGAAUUUGAUGGGGAAAAAACCUGAAAAAAAUUUUUUGGACAAAAAAUGACGCACGGCUCCCUGUAACAUCGGAACCGCAUGUUGUUUAAAAAAAAAGUUCUGUUAAAUUCACGGUUUUCAAUUAUCUGCACAUUAGGUUGAAGGAGAAAUUCAGCUGUCUCAUAAUUGAUGCGCUGACGCGAGAUUUAACAAUGAACGAAAACUGCCCGAAAGUCAUCGAAGAUGAGGAUCCCACGGGAUCAAAAGAGAACAUCCCUGAGAGGAUCCCGCCAAAUCUCAUAGCGGCAGCUAAAGAGCUGUUACCCAAAGAGGCUUGCGAUUGGUCUGCAAAAGACUUACCGUCCAACUGUAUCCUCAAGCGAAUUCUAGACGUACAAAAGCUGGAGAAGUAUGGAGCUGAUGCUAUCUAUGAUAUUUACAG